rnacentral:rRNA from 1 species
GAUGAACGCUAGCGACAGGCCUAACACAUGCAAGUCGAGGGGUAUCGGUUUCGGCCGAGAGACCGGCGCACGGGUGAGUAACGCGUAUGUAACCUGCCCAUGACAGGGGGAUAGCUCGCUGAAAAGCGAAUUAACACCGCAUAAAGCAAACGUACCGCAUGGUACGUUUGCCAAACAUUUAUGGGUCAUGGAUGGGCAUGCGUGGCAUUAGGUAGUUGGGGGGGUAACGGCCCACCAAGCCGACGAUGCCUAGGGGUUCUGAGAGGAAGGUCCCCCACACUGGUACUGAGACACGGACCAGACUCCUACGGGAGGCAGCAGUGAGGAAUAUUGGUCAAUGGGCGAGAGCCUGAACCAGCCAUGUCGCGUGCGGGACGACGGCCCUAUGGGUUGUAAACCGCUUUUGUACGGGAAGAAAAAAGACUACGUGUAGUCUCUUGCCGGUACCGUACGAAUAAGGAUCGGCUAACUCCGUGCCAGCCGCCGCUGUAAAAC